UUCCGUAGGGUGAACCUGCGGAGGGAUCAUUACACAAUAAAAUACGAAGGCCGUUCGCGGCUGGACUAUUUAUUACCCUUGUCUUUUGCGCACUUGUUGUUUCCUGGGCGGGUUCGCUCGCCACCAGGACCACAAUAUAAACCUUUUUUAUGCAGUUGCAAUCAGCGUCAGUAUAACAAAUGUAAAUCAUUUACAACUUUCAACAACGGAUCUCUUGGUUCUGGCAUCGAUGAAGAACGCAGCGAAAUGCGAUACGUAGUGUGAAUUGCAGAAUUCAGUGAAUCAUCGAAUCUUUGAACGCACAUUGCGCCCUUUGGUAUUCCAAAGGGCAUGCCUGUUCGAGCGUCAUUUGUACCCUCAAGCUUUGCUUGGUGUUGGGCGUUUUUGUCCCCCCCCAAAAAGGGGACUCGCCUUAAAAGGAUUGGCAGCCGGCCUACUGGUUUCGCAGCGCAGCACAUUUUUGCGCUUGCAAUCAGCAAAAGAGGACGGCAAUCCAUCAAGACUCCUUCUCACGUUUGACCUCGGAUCAGGUAGGGAUACCCGCUGAACUUAAGCAUAUCA
rnacentral:rRNA from 1 species